AAUAUUGGUCAAUAGCCUAACGGCUGAACCAGCAACUUGGAAGAAUGUAUAACGAAUAAGUCGUAUAAAAUUCUAGGUAGAAGAAUGAUAGUGACAAUUUUCUAUCUAUAAGUCUUGACCAAAUUACGUGCCAGCAGUCGCGGUAACACGUAGAAGACUAGUGUUAUUCAUCUUUAUUAGGUUUAAAGGGUACCUAGACGGAAAAUCAAGCCAUAAUAGGGACUAAUUUUCUAGAGUUUUAUGAGAGAAGGGGUGAAUUUCCGGAGGAAAGUUGAUAUUUAGUGAUACUGGAAGGACGGGUAACGGCGAAGGCAACCUUGUAUGUAAAAACUGACGUUGAGGGACGAAGCCUUGGGUAACGAGAAGGAUUAGAUACCCUAGUAGUCCUUGGAGACAAUUAUGAAUGUCAUAGGCUAGAUAAUUUAGCCUAUAAAUGAAAGUGUAAGCAUUCCACCUCAUGAGUAAAGCGGCAACGCCCAAAUUGAAAUCAUUAGACCGUUUCUGAAACCAGUAGUGAAGUAUGUUAUUUAAUUCGAUGAUCCGCGAAUAACCUUACCACAAUAUGCAUUGAAUAUUAUUCAAUUAUUACAAGCGCUGCACGGCUGUCUUCAGUUAAUGUCGUGAGAUUUU
rnacentral:rRNA from 2 species